rnacentral:rRNA from 1 species
AUUGAACGCUGGCGGCAUGCCUUACACAUGCAAGUCGAACGGCAGCACGGGUGCUUGCACCUGGUGGCGAGUGGCGAACGGGUGAGUAAUACAUCGGAACAUGUCCUGUAGUGGGGGAUAGCCCGGCGAAAGCCGGAUUAAUACCGCAUACGAUCUACGGAUGAAAGCGGGGGACCUUCGGGCCUCGCGCUAUAGGGUUGGCCGAUGGCUGAUUAGCUAGUUGGUGGGGUAAAGGCCUACCAAGGCGACGAUCAGUAGCUGGUCUGAGAGGACGACCAGCCACACUGGGACUGAGACACGGCCCUGACUCCUACGGGAGGCAGCAGUGGGGAAUUUUGGACAAUGGGCGAAAGCCUGAUCCAGCAAUGCCGCGUGUGUGAAGAAGGCCUUCGGGUUGUAAAGCACUUUUGUCCGGAAAGAAAUCCUUGGCCCUAAUACGGUCGGGGGAUGACGGUACCGGAAGAAUAAGCACCGGCUAACUACGUG